GACGAACGCUGGCGGCGUGCCUAAUACAUGCAAGUCGAGCGGACUUUCAAGAAGCUUGCUUUUUGAAAGUUAGCGGCGGACGGGUGAGUAACACGUGGGCAACCUGCCUGUAAGACGGGGAUAACUCCGGGAAACCGGGGUUAAUACCGGAUAAUAUCUUUCUUCGCAUGAAGGAAGGUUGAAAGGCGGCGCAAGCUGCCGCUUGCAGAUGGGCCCGCGGCGCAUUAGCUAGUUGGUGAGGUAACGGCUCACCAAGGCGACGAUGCGUAGCCGACCUGGGAGGGUGAUCGGCCACACUGGGGCUGAGACACGGCCCAGACUCCUACGGGAGGCAGCAGUAGGGAAUCUUCCGCAAUGGACGAAAGUCUGACGGAGCAACGCCGCGUGAGCGAAGAAGGUCUUCGGAUCGUAAAGCUCUGUUGUCAGGGAAGAACAAGUACCGUUCGAAUAGGGCGGUACCUUGACGGUACCUGACCAGAAAGCCACGGCUAACUACGUGCCAGCCGCCGCCGUAA
rnacentral:rRNA from 1 species